AAUGAACGCUGGCGGCGCGCCUAAUACAUGCAAGCCGAGCGAGAAGACGUAGCAAUACGUUUGUAAAGCGGCGAACGGGUGAGGAAUACAUGGGUAACCUACCCUCGAGUGGGGAAUAACUAGCCGAAAGGUUAGCUAAUACCGCGUACGCUUCUUGGACUUCGGUUCAGGGAGGAAAGCGAUGCCGAGGGUAUCGCGCUCUUGGAUGGGCUCAUGUCCUAUCAGCUUGUUGGGAGGUAACGGCUCACCAAGGCUUCGACGGGUAGCUGGUCUGAGAGGACGAUCAGCCACACUGGCACUGCGACACGGGCCAGACUCCUACGGGAGGCAGCAGUAAGGAAUAUUGCGCAAUGGGCGAAAGCCUGACGCAGCGACG
rnacentral:rRNA from 1 species